UACGUAGGCAGCGAGCGUUGUUCGGAAUUACUGGGCGUAAAGAGCGCGCAGGCGGUCGUUCAAGUCGCGUGUGAAAGCCCCCGGCUCAACUGGGGAGGGUCACGCGAUACUGAUCGACUCGAAGGCAGGAGAGGGAAGUGGAAUUCCCGGUGUAGUGGUGAAAUGCGUAGAUAUCGGGAGGAACACCAGUGGCGAAGGCGACUUCCUGGCCUGUUCUUGACGCUGAGGCGCGAAAGCUAGGGUAGCAGACGGG
rnacentral:rRNA from 1 species